ensembl:lncRNA
AAACGGUGACGACGCAGACAGGUCAGGGCGCCUGUGGUUAUUGCUGGAAAAGACUACUCCCCAAAUUUCACCCUGCAGCGUGCACGGGUUGGUCUGUCUGGACCACAGAGGACAGGCUAGUAAGGGUUGGUUUUUGAAGACAGUUUCCAUCCGUCUGGUGAAAGAGCUUCGAUCAGUCUGCACCACAGGGGGAUUUAAACUCACCAAAUGGACCAGUAACAGUCGUGCAGUCCUUGCCUCUGUUCCAGUGGAAGAGAGAGCAAAGGAAGUCAAAGAUCUAGACCUCGACAAAGACAAACUGCCCAUCGAAAGGGCCCUCGGCAUGCGAUGGGACAUUGAGUCAGACACUUUCUUCUUUUCAAUCACCCCAAAACAACCAUCAGUAACCCGCAGAAGCAUUUUAUCGGUGUUGAACUCUGUAUACGACCCCCUAGGGUUCAUAGCGCCAGUAAUGCUGACAGGGAAAGGAAUACUGCAGGACCUGUGCAAGCUAAAUUGUGGAUGGGAUGAAACAAUACCAACUGUUUACACAGAGAGAUGGACGGAAUGGCUAAAAGAUCUUAACCUGAUUUCCAGCCUAAGAAUCAGGAGAUGCCUUAAGUCACAAGAUUUUGAAGUUGCUAGAGCACAGAUGAACCACCCAGGUUACGGGACAGUCAGCUACUUGAAACAUGGCAGUAAAGUUGGACUACCUCACAUAAUGUUAGAAUGAAAGGCCACUGACUCGUUUUAUUGAGCACUUCUCAUCAUGGAACAAAUUCCGAUCAUCAGCCUGGAUCUUAAAAUUCAAAGAAACUCUGAGACGAAAGAAAAUGAGUAACACAUACCCAACUGGGUCGCAGCUGUCCGUGGAGGAUUUAGCCAAGGCAGAGCAAUCACUUGUGUCUUAUGUCCAACAACAAUCCUUCAAAGAUGAGGUGACCUCUCUACAAAGGGGCUUACCCAUAAAGAGAAACAGUAGGAUCUAUAGACUAGAUCCUACCCUCCAACAUGGAAUCCUGAGAGUCGGAGGCAGACUAAGUAAGCUGGCAAUGCCAGAGGAAACCAAACAUCCUGCUAUUCUACCCAAGGACAACCACCUGUCAAAGAUACUCCUACACCACACUCACACCUCGAUGGCUCAUUGUGGAAGAAAUCAACUUAUCGCAAAACUCAGGACAAAAUACUGGAUUCUAAGAGUAAAUUCUGCUGCAAGAAAGAUAACAAGGGACUGUGUACUUUUCAGGAGAUGGCAUGGCACAGCAAUGACACAAAAAAUGUCCGACCUACCGCUACACAGGAUAACACCUGAUUUGCCGCCCUUCACCCAUGCAGGACUAGACUACUUCAGGCCCAUAGAAGUCAAGCGCGGCCGCAGCAAAGUAAAACGGUAUGGAGCCUUGUUUACGUGCCUAGCAAGCAGAGCUGUACAUCUGGAGAUGGCCUACUCAAUGGAUACAGACUCAUGUAUUUCUGCACUGCGAAGAUUCAUCUGCCGACGAGGCCAAGUGAAAGAAAUUGUUUCCGAUAACGGUACUAAUUUUGUCGGGACUGAACGAGAGCUUCGAGAAGCAUUUACACACCUUGACCUCAGCAAGAUCCAGCAUUCGAUGCACGCUGAAGGUAUCAAAUGGACAUUCAACCCCCUUUAUGGUGCUCAUCAUGGAGGCGUAUGGGAACGACUCAUCCGGAUGAUAAAAAAGAACCUCUACUCCAUCACAAGGGAACAGAUCCUGGAUGACGAGAGUCUCCAAACAGCUCUGUGUGAAGUAGAGCCAAUCAUGAAUGACCGGCCCAUCACAGUCUUAUCCCAAGAUGCAAAAGAUCCAGAACCUCUGACACCCAACCACCUGCUUCAAAUGAAGCGAAUGCCGACUCUCCCACCUGGACUCUUCGACAAAAGUGAUACCUAUUCCAGACGAAGAUGGAAGCAGACUCAGUAUAUAGCGGAUCUCUUCUGGAAAUGCUGGAUACGAGAAUACCUCCCAUUGCUACAGGAGAGACAGAAAUGGAAUAAGAUCAAAAGGAACCUAAAGCAUGGAGACAUAGUGCUGAUCAUCGAUGAAAGCUCACCACGCAACUCCUGGCCUAUGGGCCGAAUCACGGAAACCUUUCCCGACAAAAGGGGACAUGUACGUCAUGUCAAGAUCAGGACACAAAAUGGCACCAUGGAAAGGCCCAUCACAAAGCUGUGCCUUCUACAAAACAUGCCCUGAUUAGAUCCUCAAAUAGACUUUGCCCCUUUUCUUUGACCCUUGAGAGAACUCAUUUUCCUUUUCUCAGGAAUUUUUUGAACCCGUUUUGCAAAAAGGACAAUCGAAACUAAAUGGAUUAUAUUUUUCGCCUUUUUUCUUUAUUCUAUGGACACGAGACAAAGGACUCUAAAGAAUGGGCUUCAUAUGUUUAAAUGUAUGAAUUGUCCUCUACCGGUCAAUUAGGGGCCGGAGUGUAGAAGCCAUUCCACUACAUUUGUAUCGUGCAUAAUGAAACUGCCUCUUCUGUUGAUUUAUAUGUGAUGAUGUAAUGAUGACGUCAGGGGGCGUCGGCUAUUUAAAUGUCACCUGAGUAAGGCCAGGGGUGUUUUCUAUUUCGAGAGCGGAAGGAGAUACUAUUUUUGACCGCAUUACGCAUUGAAUUCUCCUUUUAUUUUGAGUGUGAUUUAGGUUGUUUUUUGCCGACCAAUGAAUAAAGAAUAUUGAAGUGACAA